rnacentral:rRNA from 1 species
GGAAGUAAAAGUCGUAACAAGGUUUCCGUAGGUGAACCUGCGGAAGGAUCAUUACCUAGAGUUGUAGGCUUUGCCUGCUAUCUCUUACCCAUGUCUUUUAAGUACCUUACGUUUCCUCGGCGGGUCCGCCCGCCGAUUGGACAAUUUAAACCAUUUGCAGUUGCAAUCAGCGUCUGAAAAAACUUAAUAGUUACAACUUUCAACAACGGAUCUCUUGGUUCUGGCAUCGAUGAAGAACGCAGCGAAAUGCGAUAAGUAGUGUGAAUUGCAGAAUUCAGUGAAUCAUCGAAUCUUUGAACGCACAUUGCGCCCCUUGGUAUUCCAUGGGGCAUGCCUGUUCGAGCGUCAUUUGUACCUUCAAGCUCUGCUUGGUGUUGGGUGUUUGUCUCGCCUCUGCGUGUAGACUCGCCUCAAAACAAUUGGCAGCCGGCGUAUUGAUUUCGGAGCGCAGUACAUCUCGCGCUUUGCACUCAUAACGACGACGUCCAAAAGUACAUUUUUACACUCUUGACCUCGGAUCAGGUA